rnacentral:rRNA from 1 species
GACGAACGCUGGCGGCGUGCCUAAUACAUGCAAGUUGAGCGCUGAAGGUUGGUACUUGUACCGACUGGAUGAGCAGCGAACGGGUGAGUAACGCGUGGGUAAUCUGCCUUUGAGCGGGGGACAACAUUUGGAAACGAAUGCUAAUACCGCAUAAAAACUUUAAACACAAGUUUUAAGUUUGAAAGAUGCAAUUGCAUCACUCAAAGAUGAUCCCGCGUUGUAUUAGCUAGUUGGUGAGGUAAAGGCUCACCAAGGCGAUGAUACAUAGCCGACCUGAGAGGGUGAUCGGCCCCCUUGGGAAUGAGACACGGCCCAAACUCCUACGGGAGGCAGCAGUAGGGAAUCUUCGGCAAUGGACGAAAGUCUGACCGCGCAACGCCGCGUGAGUGAAGAAGGUUUUCGGAUCGUAAAACUCUGUUGGUAGAGAAGAACGUUGGUGAGAGUGGAAAGCUCAUCAAGUGACGGUAACUACCCAGAAAGGGACGGCUAACUACGUG